rnacentral:rRNA from 1 species
AACAAACGCUGGCGGCGUGCCUAAUACAUGCAAGUCGAACGGGGAAAGCUUUCGGGUGAGUACUAGUGGCGCACGGGUGAGUAACGCGUGGAUAAUCUGCCCUCGAAUGGGGAAUAACUAGUCGAAAGAUUAGCUAAUACCGCAUAAGACCACGACUACUGAGGUAGUUGGGGUCAAAGGAGCAAUUCGUUUGAGGAUGAGUCCGCGUAAGAUUAGCUAGGUGGUGAGGUAAUGGCUCACCAAGGCGAUGAGCUUUCACUGGUCUGAGAGGAUGAUCAGUCACACUGGAACUGAGACACGGUCCAGACUCCUACGGGAGGCAGCAGUAGGGAAUAUUGGACAAUGGGGGCAACCCUGAUCCAGCGACGCCGCGUGAGCGAUGAAGGCCUUCGGGUCGUAAAGCUCUGUUGUAAGGGAAAAAGUUCUGAUUGUACCUUACGAGAAAGGAUCGGCUAACUUCGUGCCAGCCGCCGCGGUAA